GAAGAGCCAUCUAUUGGAGCGCGUGAGAAGCUCCAACCAAAGAUCAAUGGCAAUACUAUCACCGAGCACACCGCAUCGAUUACGUCACGCGAUGUCAAGAAACUACAACAGAUGGCGCUGAAGCACACCUAUAAAAACGAUUGCACAGACGCUUAACGUCUCUCAUUCUCAUUUGAACUUUCAACUGAAAUAUUGUAAACGCUUUAUUGUAACGUAAUAAAUCCCAGUAUAUCUUCAAAGUCGCCUGAUUUACCCGUGUUGAUCCAUACACACAAGAAGAUUAGGAGUCACAGACAAUAGCUAGAAAUUAGAAGCCUAGGAACACACUCUGAACACGCAAACAUUGGUCCUUCGAGCCGGAUCAUCCAUCAUCACAUCGAGGGAUCAGCAAAGGGUACCGUGUUGUGCUUCCUCACGAGUCACGUACGCAGUUUACAGGAAUUUGACCCCAACGACUACUCUCCACUCACUCCUGCCCACUUCACUAUUGGUCGGCCGCUGACUGCACCUGCAGAGAGUGAUGUUACCGCUGCAACCACGCACACACUCAAUCGUUACCAGCGAGUUGAACAGCUGAGGCAGACAUUUUGGAGGAGAUGGUCUACAGAGUACAUAUCAGAGCUUCAGAAACGUACUAAAUGGCAACAGAAAACUGAAGACUUGCAAACUGGAACAUUGGUUGUCAUAAAGGACGAUAACCUUCCGCCGCUGAAAUGGCGGUUAGGACGCAUAAUAACUCUGAUUUCAGGCAGUGACGGCGUACCAAGGGUUGCUGUCAUUCGGACGGCCACGGGCGUCAUACACAGGGCAUUCUCAAAGAUAUGCCCACUUCCGGUCGCUGAGGUGCCAGGUUCGAGGCUCGGCGCGUGACACGACGUGAGCUGAGAUGUUGAGAGGGAGUCUCUCAAGGCCCGCCGGAAUGUUAAGAAGAGCCAUCUAUUGGAGCGCGUGAGAAGCUCCAACCAAAGAUCAAUGGCAAUACUAUCACCGAGCACACCGCAUCGAUUACGUCACGCGAUGUCAAGAAACUACAACAGAUGGCGCUGAAGCACACCUAUAAAAACGAUUGCACAGACGCUUAACGUCUCUCAUUCUCAUUUGAACUUUCAACUGAAAUAUUGUAAACGCUUUAUUGUAACGUAAUAAAUCCCAGUAUAUCUUCAAAGUCGCCUGAUUUACCCGUGUUGAUCCAUACACACAAGAAGAUUAGGAGUCACAGACAAUAGCUAGAAAUUAGAAGCCUAGGAACACACUCUGAACACG